AUGAACGCUGGCGGCGUGCCUAAUACAUGCAAGUCGAGCGAACGGACGAGAAGCUUGCUUCUCUGAUGUUAGCGGCGGACGGGUGAGUAACACGUGGAUAACCUACCUAUAAGACUGGGAUAACUUCGGGAAACCGUAGCUAAUACCGGAUAAUAUUUUGAACCGCAUGGUUCAAAAGUGAAAGACGGUCUUGCUGUCACUUAUAGAUGGAUCCGCGCUGCAUUAGCUAGUUGGUAAGGUAACGGCUUACCAAGGCAACGAUGCAUAGCCGACCUGAGAGGGUGAUCGGCCACACUGGAACUGAGACACGGUCCAGACUCCUACGGGAGGCAGCAGUAGGGAAUCUUCCGCAAUGGGCGAAAGCCUGACGGAGCAACGCCGCGUGAGUGAUGAAGGUCUUCGGAUCGCAAAACUCUGUUAUUAGGGAAGAACAUAUGUGUAAGUAACUGUGCACAUCUUGACGGUACCUAAUCAGAAAGCCACGGCUAACUACGUG
rnacentral:rRNA from 1 species